UAUUGGAACCUCGGUGCUGGGACAGUGGGACUCAGAGCAGCCAAGAGUUCCUGAGGCACAGCCAGGGCACCUGGGUCAGCAGUCUGAAAGGGGAAAUAGGAUGAUCCAAGGUCUUCAGGAAGAGAGAAUGGAAGACUCGGCUCUCUAGACGCCAGGUCCACGCUCAUGGCUGAUGAUGUCAGGUACUAACAACGUCGCCCAGGCCCGGAAGCUGGUGGAGCAGUUGCGCAUCGAAGCUGGGAUCGAACGCAUCAAGGUCUCCAAGGCCUCGUCAGAACUGAUGAGCUACUGUGAGCAACAUGCCCGGAAUGACCCCUUGCUGGUUGGUGUACCAGCCUCUGAAAAUCCAUUCAAAGACAAAAAGCCUUGCAUAAUUCUCUAGUUCUCUCUCUCUUCCUCCCUCCUUCCUCUCCCUCUCUUUCUCCCCACCCCAAAGGUAUUGUCCAGUUUUUCCUGUAAGAAAAAAAUAUUUG
rnacentral:lncRNA from 1 species